rnacentral:rRNA from 1 species
AUUGAACGCUGGCGGCAUGCCUUACACAUGCAAGUCGAACGGUAACGGGUCCUUCGGGAUGCCGACGAGUGGCGAACGGGUGAGUAAUAUAUCGGAACGUGCCCAGUAGUGGGGGAUAACUGCUCGAAAGAGCAGCUAAUACCGCAUACGACCUGAGGGUGAAAGGGGGGGAUCGCAAGACCUCUCGCUAUUGGAGCGGCCGAUAUCAGAUUAGCUAGUUGGUGGGGUAAAGGCCUACCAAGGCAACGAUCUGUAGUUGGUCUGAGAGGACGAACAGCCACACUGGGACUGAGACACGGCCCAGACGCCUACGGGAGGCAGCAGUGGGUAAUAUUGGACAAUGGGGGAAACCCUGAUCCAGCAAUGCCGCGUGUGUGAAGAAGGCCUUCGGGUUGUAAAGCACUUUCAAUAGGGGAGAACAAGCUUAUGGCUAAUAUCCAUGAGCCUAGACGUUACCUAUAGAAGAAGCACUGGCUAACUCUGUGCCAGCCGCCGCGGUAA